rnacentral:rRNA from 1 species
AUUGAACGCUGGCGGCAGGCCUAACACAUGCAAGUCGGACGAGUGGCGGACGUGAGAGUAAUGUCUGGGGAUCUGCCUGCUGGAGGGGGAUAACGACUGGAAACGGUAGCUAAUACCGCAUACCAUCAGAUGAACCCAGAUGGGAGUAGCUUUGAGGUGGGGUAACGGCUCACCUAGGCGACGAUCCCUAGCUGGUCUGAGAGGAUGAGCAGCCACACUGGGACUGAGACACGGCCCAGACUCCUACGGGAGGCAGCAGUGGGGAAUAUUGCACAAUGGGCGCAAGCCUGAUGCAGCCAUGCCGCGUGUAUGAAGAAGGCCUUCGGGUUGUAAAGUACUUUCAGUGGGGAGGCGUUACCGGCAGAAGAAGCACCGGCUAACUCCGUGCCAGCAGCCGCGGUAAUAC